rnacentral:tRNA from 7 species
GCUGUUAUAGCUCAGUCGGUAGAGCGCAUCCUUGGUAAGGAUGAGGUCGGCAGUUCGAAUCUGCCUAACAGCUCCA